rnacentral:tRNA from 1 species
UCUCUAGAAGCUUGCAACAGCAAUGAAUUUUUACUUCAUUAACAGGAUAAGUUUAAUCUCCCUAGAGAA